rnacentral:rRNA from 1 species
UAACACAUGCAAGUCGAACGAACCUUCGGGUUAGUGGCGGACGGGUGAGUAACGCGUGAGAAUCUGCCCUCAGGAGGGGGAUAACGGCUGGAAACGGCCGCUAAUACCCCAUAUGCCGCGAGGUGAAAUGAAUUUCGCCUGAGGAUGAGCUCGCGUCUGAUUAGCUAGUUGGUGUAGGUAAUGGCUCACCAAGGCAUCGAUCAGUAGCUGGUCUGAGAGGAUGAUCAGCCACACUGGGACUGAGACACGGCCCAGACUCCAACGGGAGGCAGCAGUGGGGAAUUUUCCGCAAUGGGCGAAAGGGUGACGGAGCAACGCCGCGUGAGGGAUGAAGGCCUCUGGGCUGUAAACCUCUUUUAUAAGGAAGAAGAUCUGACG